CAGCUAUGCCGCGAUGAGUGAAGAAGGCCUUCGGGUUUGUAAAGCUCUUUUGUCAGGGAAGAAACGGUAAGGGCUAAUAUCUCUUGCUAAUGACGGUACCUGAAGAAUAAGCACCGGCUAACUACGUGCCAGCAGCCGCGGUAAUACGUAGGGUGCAAGCGUUAAUCGGAAUUACUGGGCGUAAAGCGUGCGCAGGCGGUUUUGUAAGUCUGUCGUGAAGGCCCCGGGCUCAACCUGGGAAUUGCGAUGGAGACUGCAAGGCUUGAAUCUGGCAGAGGGGGGUAGAAUUCCACGUGUAGCAGUGAAAUGCGUAGAGAUGUGGAGGAACACCGAUGGCGAAGGCAGCCCCCUGGGUCAAGAUUGACGCUCAUGCACGAAAGCGUGGGGAGCAAACAGGAUUAGAUACCCUGGUAGUCCACGCCCUAAACGAUGUCUACUAGUUGUCGGGUUUUAAUUAACUUGGUAACGCAGCUAACGCGUGAAGUAGACCGCCUGGGGAGUACGGUCGCAAGAUUA
rnacentral:rRNA from 1 species